rnacentral:rRNA from 1 species
CGCGGCCUAUCAGCUUGUUGGCGAGGUAACGGCUCACCAAGGCAUCGUCGGGUAGCUGGUCUGAGAGGACGAUCAGCCACACUGGGACUGAGACACGGCCCAGACUCCUGCGGGAGGCAGCAGUGGGGAAUCUUGCGCAAUGGGCGAAAGCCUGACGCAGCAACGCCGCGUGGGGGAUGACAGCUCUCGGGUUGUAAACCCCUUUCAUCAGGGAAGAAAUUGACGGUACCUGAAGAAGAAGCCCCGGCCAACUACGUGCCAGCAGCCGCGGUGACACGUAGGGGGCGAGCGUUGUCCGGAAUUAUUGGGCGUAAAGAGCUCGUAGGCGGUUUAGUAAGUCAGAUGUGAAAGGUUGGGGCUCAACCCCAAGACUGCAUCCGAUACUGCUAUGACUAGAGUCCGGUAGAGGAGUGUGGAAUUCCUGGUGUAGCGGUGAAAUGCGCAGAUAUCAGGAGGAACACCGACGGCGAAGGCAGCACUCUGGGCCGGUACUGACGCUCAGGAGCGAAAGCGUGGGUAGCAAACAGGAUUAGAUACCCUGGUAGUCCACGCCGUAAACGUUGGGCACUAGGUGUGGGGCCUUAUCAACGGGUUCCGUGCCGUAGCUAACGCAUUAAGUGCCCCGCCUGGGGAGUACGG